GUCACUUUCUCACAAUGAGGCUCCCUGCUCAGCUCCUGGGGCUGUUAGUGCUCUGGCUCCCUGGAUCCAGUGGGGAAAUUGUGAUGACCCGGACUCCACUAUCCCUGCCCAUCACCCCUGGAGAGCCGGCCUCCAUCUCCUGCAGGUCUAGUCAGAGCCUCAUGGAUGGUGAUGAUGGAUUCACCUAUUUGUAUUGGUACCUGCAGAAGCCAGGCCAGUCUCCACAGCUCCUUAUGCAUUUUGCUUCAUACCGGGCCUCUGGAGUUCCAGACAGGUUCAGUGGCAGUGGGUCAGGCACUGAUUUCACACUAGAAAUCAGCAAGGUGGAGGCUGAGGAUAUUGGGGUGUAUUACUGCAUGCAAGCUCUAGAGCUUCCUCCCACAGUGGGCACCUUCCAGAGCCUCUUCCUUCCUAACUAUUUGGGGCGCUCGAGUCACACAGACUCUCCAGGGUUGGCUGCCACAUCCUCCCUGGAACAGCCACUAAAGUUUCCUGCUAUCCUCACGGCUGCAGGGAUGCUCAGUCACAUCACUGGGAGGAGAUCCUAG